CCUACGGGUGGCAGCAGUGAGGAAUAUUGGUCAAUGGACGAGAGUCUGAACCAGCCAAGUAGCGUGAAGGAUGACUGCCCUAUGGGUUGUAAACUUCUUUUAUAUGGGAAUAAAAUGUUCCACGUGUGGGCUUUUGUAUGUACUUUAUGAAUAAGGAUCGGCUAACUCCGUGCCAGCAGCCGCGGUAAUACGGAGGAUCCGAGCGUUAUCCGGAUUUAUUGGGUUUAAAGGGAGCGUAGAUGGGUUGUUAAGUCAGUUGUGAAAGUUUGCGGCUCAACCGUAAAAUUGCAAUUGAUACUGGCAGUCUUGAGUACAGUUGAGGUAGGCGGAAUUCGUGGUGUAGCGAUGAAAUGCUUAGAUAUCACGAAGAACUCCGAUUGCGAAGGCAGCUUACUAAACUGCAACUGACAUUGAUGCUCGAAAGUGUGGGUAUCAAACAGGAUUAGAUACCCUAGUAGUC
rnacentral:rRNA from 1 species